GUCAGCCCCACCAUGAAACUCGCUGCCUCCCUGGUUCUCCUGUGCCUGUGCUCUGCACUAAUGGCUUUGAAAUGUGCUUUUGCAGCUGUCUUGCCUGAUGAUCAAUCAAUGGACCUGAACAAUGUUCAGAAUGCAGAACCAGUCAACUUUGUAUAUGAACGUGUAGUCCCAUUCUGAAGAUGAUUUUUCUGGACUUCAAUAAGUCGCCCAAAAGGAUCGACCCAGACCAAUCAUUUCCAGCAAAGAAGAAUUAAAGAAUGUCCUCUAAAGUAAAAUAAAG